GCAUGGCCAAAUACUGUGUUCUUUUUUAUCAGUUGUUUACAUAGCCAGACAUCAUGCAAAAAAAUAAGAAAUAAAGCAUUCUUCCCUAUAGAGUGGUUACCAUGGCAUGCUAAGCUUUUCCAUAUCAUUAUUAAAGGGAAAUACAAAU
rnacentral:snoRNA from 1 species